CACGUAGGGGGCAAGCGUUGUCCGGAAUUACUGGGCGUAAAGGGCGCGUAGGCGGUUAUCCAAGUCAGGUGUGAAAUUCCAGGGCUCAACCCUGGGACUGCACUUGAAACUGGGUAACUUGAGGGCAGGAGAGGUAAGUGGAAUUCCUGGUGUAGCGGUGAAAUGCGUAGAUAUCAGGAGGAACACCAGUGGCGAAAGCGACUUACUGGCCUGGCCCUGACGCUGAGGCGCGAAAGCGUGGGGAGCGAACAGG
rnacentral:rRNA from 1 species